rnacentral:rRNA from 1 species
UACGGAGGGUGCAAGCGUUAUCCGGAUUUAUUGGGUUUAAAGGGUGCGUAGGUGGGCGAGUAAGUCAGUGGUGAAAUCUCCGGGCUUAACCCGGAAACUGCCAUUGAUACUAUUUGUCUUGAAUACUUUGGAGGUAAGCGGAAUAUGUCAUGUAGCGGUGAAAUGCUUAGAUAUGACAUAGAACACCAAUUGCGAAGGCAGCUUACUGCAAAGUAAUUGACACUGAGGCACGAAAGCGUGGGGAGCAAACAGG